UAUUGAAUGUUAUAGUUUAAACUGUGGUGAAAUGUAUUCCUUUUUAUCAGAUUCAACGAUUGUGAAGAUGGAAAUGAUCUAUUUUUGUUCAAUUCAACCUGAUUCAUUGCAUUGCUUCUAAAGUUUCGAUAUUUUACAAUUUCUGUUUCAAUGACUUGCGAGUGCACGUGCACGAGUUGCAACUUGCAAUGAAGUUUGGAUUGUUCAUCUCCAAUUACCGAUGAUCAACUGAAAAUUGCUAAAGAAGUAGAGAAACUAUUGUCAAAAACAUCACCUGGAACUAAGAUGGUCGAUUCCUUUGAAAUAGAUGAAACAGAAUCAGAAAAGUUGGGAAAUAAGAAGACUACUCACACAGGUAGAAAGAAGAAAACCAGAAUUAUUGACCUUGAAGAAGAAAACAAGAAUCUUAAAGAGCAGAUAGCUGAACUGCAAAACAUACAACACUCAGAUCAGCCAAGUUCUACUUGUGAUGGUGAGCUUCAGUUUUGUAUAUUUACAUUAUUUCAAAUUGAAACCAUUCUACAACGUUUUACCAACUCACUUUUGUUCAUGCCUGUCCGACUAGCUAGAGACUUGAAACUUUCAGGAUAGGUCAGAACCCAAUGACAAUGCAUUUUUCAUUGUUUUUCAAAAAUUUACCAAUUUCUUCUUGAAUGAAAAAGACUAAGAAAUUGUCAA